CAAGAGCGUAUGUAAAAGUUGUUGCAGUUAAAAAGCUCGUAGUUGAACCUUGGGUUUGGUUGGCCGGUCCGCUUUUUUGCGAGUACUGGAUUCAACCGAGCCUUUCCUUCUGGCUAACCAGUCGUUUCGGCGGCUGGCGAACCAGGAUUUUUACUUCGAGAAAAUUAGAGUGUUCAAAGCAGGCAUUAGCUUGAAUAUAUUAGCAUGGAAUAAUAGAAUAGGACGUUAUGGUUCUAUUUUGUUGGUUUCUAGGACCAUCGUAAUGAUUAAUAGGGACGGUCGGGGGCAUCAGUAUUCAGUUGUCAGAGGUGAAAUUCUUGGAUUUACUGAAGACUAACUACUGCGAAAGCAUUUGCCAAGGACGUUUUCAUUAA
rnacentral:rRNA from 1 species